rnacentral:rRNA from 1 species
UGGGGAAUUUUGGACAAUGGGGGAAACCCUGAUCCAGCCAUCCCGCGUGUGCGAUGAAGGCCUUCGGGUUGUAAAGCACUUUUGGCAGGAAAGAAACGUCAUGGGUUAAUACCCCGUGAAACUGACGGGACCUGCAGAAUAAGCACCGGCUAACUACGUGCCAGCAGCCGCGGUAAUACGUAGGGUGCAAGCGUUAAUCGGAAUUACUGGGCGUAAAGCGUGCGCAGGCGGUUCGGAAAGAAAGAUGUGAAAUCCCAGAGCUCAACUUUGGAACUGCAUUUUUAACUACCGGGCUAGGGUAUGUCAGAGGGAGGUGGAAUUCCGCGUGUAGCAGUGAAAUGCGUAGAUAUGCGGAGGAACACCGAUGGCGAAGGCAGCCUCCUGGGAUAACCCUGACGCUCAUGCACGAAAGCGUGGGGAGCAAACAGG